UUUGUGUUCAUUGACUCGAACAAUUCCAUUAUUGUUAGGUUUUGAUAACGCGCCGUGAACCUAUGUUGACCUCAAAGUUAUCGGCAGCAUGUUAUUACACAUACGUAAUAAUAUAAGCGCUUUUGUUUGUAUUCCAAUCUUUUGUAAAAAGGAUCAUAAAUGUCGAAUUGUGAAUUAAAUUUCGAAAAAAGUGUUUGCAUUGGCUUGAAAAUUAUCAGUAUUUGAAGAAUGUGUGUCUAUGUUGGAGUCUUUAUUUAUGAAAGGUGAGGCGCAGUUGCUUUUGUUGGAUGGCGACUUCGUUUCGGCCGCUGCCAUUUUUUCUUUUUCGGAAGCCAUUGUAAAACGGACUUGUCACUGACCGACGGCGCCCGUAUUUAUGUCUCGACCGCAACGCCUCUCAUUACUACCGCCGAAAGAUUUGUCACGACAUUGGGCACGCGACCGCAUCCGAACGCACCAAGAACAUAGAUAAUGAGUGAUGAGUGAUUCCUGAUGACUAAAUAGCGCCGUAAAUAGUUAACCUUAUUGCUUUGAUUAUUGACUUACACUCAAAACGCUAAAUCCGCGAACAAAUUAAACACGGAUUCUCAUAAGAAAAAUAUUUGUAUAUUGUCAAUUUAAAGAUUAAAGAUCUUGGAAACGAUGCCGUGAGGAUAUUUCGUCGAUCUGUGCGAUUGAGUUGGAGAUGUGACACUUUUUAUGUUGUAUUUUUACGUGAUAUGUUAAUUAAUAUUGGAUCACGCUGAGUUUACCCCGAGACGUGAUAGUUGCAUUGCUGUUUGUACAGGUGCCGUCAUGAGAAUGUUACGCUAAUUAAGAAGUUGUUGUAGCUAAUCCGUGUUAAUAACAUGACAAAAUAAUCUUACUAAUUAACAGGCGUAGAAAAGGUCAAAACACUUAUUACGCUAUUGGUGUAUAUUUGGAUAAGUAUUUACUAAAGUGCCUACUUAUUUGGUUGCUCAGCAUCUAUCAAAACAAGUUCAACUAUCGUAUAUUUCGAAAUAAUUUAUUUUCUUGUAUGACUAUUUAUUUUUGGUAGCACGUUAUAUGUUACUAGGAAUAUUAUGUAGUUUUAUUUUUAAAGAUAAAAAGAGGAAUAAAGAUGGGAAUGUUUUCAUUUCAUUGUGCUAUAAGAAAAUGGAUUAUGUAUGUAUACGGUAUGUAUACUAGACCUUAUCAAACAAUGUUAAUUCCUUUGUCUUGUAUGUGCAAUUUAAAUGUUAACGUUCUUUUGAAGUUACAAUAGCUCUUUUACAUUACAUUAUUUUACUUUGUUUUUGGUUUAAUAUGUAGAAAAACAACGUGAAAGUCUUUAA